UUUAAUUGAAGAGUUUGAUCAUGGCUCAGAUUGAACGCUGGCGGCAGGCCUAACACAUGCAAGUCGAGCGGUAACAGAGAGUAGCUU
rnacentral:rRNA from 1 species